rnacentral:tRNA from 1 species
UCCCUGGUGGUCCAGUGGUUAAGACUCUGGGCUCCCAAUGCAGCAGGCCUGGGUUUGGUCCCUGGUCAGGGAA